rnacentral:pre_miRNA from 1 species
UAAAUACUCCCUCCGUUCCAAAAUAGAUGACUCAACUUCGUAUAAAGAUAGUACAAAGUUGAGUCAUCUAUUUUGGAACGGAGGGAGUAUAAG